AACGGGGUGCUGUAAAAAAGUUAAAAAAAAACAAACUUACAGCUGAGAUUACACCCAACGAACCUGAUACGGAUAAUGCCGACGAAGGGAAUGAGUGUU
rnacentral:ncRNA from 1 species